AGUGAACGCUGGCGGUAGGCCUAACACAUGCAAGUCGAACGGCAGCACAGUAAGAGCUUGCUCUUACGGGUGGCGAGUGGCGGACGGGUGAGGAAUACAUCGGAAUCUACUUUUUCGUGGGGGAUAACGUAGGGAAACUUACGCUAAUACCGCAUACGACCUACGGGUGAAAGCAGGGGAUCUUCGGACCUUGCGCGUUUGAAUGAGCCGAUGUCGGAUUAGCUAGUUGGCGAGGUAAAGGCCCACCAAGGCAACGAUCCGUAGCUGGUCUGAGAGGAUGAUCAGCCACACUGGAACUGAGACACGGUCCAGACUCCUACGGGAGGCAGCAGUGGGGAAUAUUGGACAAUGGGCGCAAGCCUGAUCCAGCCAUACCGCGUGAGUGAAGAAGGCCUUCGGGUUGUAAAGCCCUUUUGUUAGGAAAGAAAAGCAGCAGGUUAAUACCCCGCUGUUCUGACGGUACCCAAAGAGUAAGCACCGGCUAACUUCGUG
rnacentral:rRNA from 1 species